CGCGGAGCCGGCCGUUCUUCUCGCUGGAGUCCUCCCGAGCCGGUCGCCGGAGUCUGCCCUUCUCAAAGAAAGUUGUCAACUAAAGGGACGAGUGGUGCAGGGGAGGUGACGCGCUGCCGACCUGGAUGGGUGGAGGUGUUAUCUAGAAACAAUUGGUCCUGAUGAGGAUAAGAAACCGGUGUUGUCUUGGGACGACUACAAGUGCCCCCCUCGUGUAGGAGUAAGAACAGCAGCAUUUCAUAGUUGUUGGAAUUUUUUUUUGGCUUAUGUAGGUUCUGUAGCUGUAACUUGGUAGGGGUCUUCACCAUUUCAGAUUCAAACUGAAAAAAAAUCAGGGUUUGAGAACUAAUAACAGAAUCAGCCACAGUUGUGACAAAGAUGUUGAUGAGAAAAAUGUGGAUGAUGACGAGUACAAUGGCUAUGAGGGAGAUGAGUACGAUGGCUAUAAGGGAGACGAGUACGAUUGUAAUCAGCAACAUGAUCACCACAAUGAUGAUUGAGUACUCAGGCAAAGUGAAGUUCUGAAAUUUGUGUUCAAUUUCUCUUCUACAAAAAGUUUGGACCAUUUUAUCAUAGUUACAUUUUGUAUCCUGGCACUUUCUAAAUGGAUCUUUAUUAUGCAACUCAUUAGGCAUGUAUGAUGCAUUGGGUGAAAUAUAUAUAACUUCUUUUGUUA